UUAAACGUCCAUACCACGUUGAAUACACCGGUUCUCAUCCAAUCACCAAAGUUAAGCAAUGCCAGGCACGGUCCGUACUUGGAUGGGUUACCGCCUGGGAAUACCGCGUUACGUUGGUU
rnacentral:rRNA from 1 species